UUUGGCUUCACUUUGUACAGCGGGAGGAAGUGGAGACGAGUCAUCCAUCUUUAUACACCGACUAUGGGUUCAACUUAUUGG